rnacentral:tRNA from 1 species
CUGCGGAGUGCAGUGCUCUUUCCAACCAAUUCCCGAGGAAAGGGAACAUUUCCGUAUACAGAGCCGCGCCACCGAAUGAGCACUGGUCUGGGGGACCAGGGGUCGCAGGUUCGAGUCCUGUCUCCCCGA